rnacentral:rRNA from 1 species
UUGAACGCUGGCGGCAUGCUUUACACAUGCAAGUCGAACGGUAACAGGCCUUCGGGUGCUGACGAGUGGCGAACGGGUGAGUAAUGCAUCGGAACGUGCCCAGAGGUGGGGGAUAACGCAGCGAAAGCUGUGCUAAUACCGCAUGUGAUCUGAGGAUGAAAGCGGGGGACCAAGCAGCAAUGUUUGGCCUCGCGCCUCUGGAGCGGCCGAUGUCAGAUUAGGUAGUUGGUGGGGUAAAGGCCUACCAAGCCGACGAUCUGUAGCUGGUCUGAGAGGACGACCAGCCACACUGGGACUGAGACACGGCCCAGACUCCUACGGGAGGCAGCAGUGGGGAAUUUUGGACAAUGGGCGCAAGCCUGAUCCAGCAAUGCCGCGUGCGGGAAGAAGGCCUUCGGGUUGUAAACCGCUUUUGUACGGAACGAAAAGGCUCUGGCUAAUACCUGGGGCUGAUGACGGUACCGGAAGAAUAAGCACCGGCUAACUACGUG